GAGUUGCAUUUAUAUAGUGUUGAUCCACAAAAAAGUAAAAAGGAAUCUACACACAACAAAAAAUUGUUCCAAUUGCGGCAGGUAGCGGGAAAAAUAAACAGAAAAGACACAAGGUAGCGCUAUCAACCAUCCCACCUUGUAUAUAAUCUAUGAAAUGAUCUGAGAAUAAUGAUAGUAAAACUGGAUUUACACACACCAGUCUAAAAAAAGCACAACAGUGUACAGACUCCUUUUACUUUUUUGUGACCACUUGGUUCAGUUUGUAUUGCACCUGAUACAGGACCUGGAUGUGUGCACUUUUUCUAUUUAAGAUUGAUGCCCUGGGAUGCAGAAUAAUGUUCUUUCAUAUUUAUCUUGUUAGCGUCAUAGUUUUAAUAAACAGUUUUGAGAUGUCAUGUGUAUGUAAUGUGUCUUGAAAUGUUUGACAUUACUAAUUCCCAAUGAUCAGCAGCAAUACAAGAGCAUUGUUUUUUUUGUCAUUUGUGUUUGAGGCUGUUUCAGUUUGAUCAGAGAAUUCAAAUGAAAGACUGUCUAUAUGUUCUGAAAAUAGUAAAUGGUGGUUUACUUCUGGGUUAGUUCAGAUUUAUUUAUUCAUAGUCUGGAGAAGUAGACAAUACUUAACUGCUGUGCAUGUACUCCUGUCUGUUUCUCCAAACACGGGAUGUGCUGACAGUCAUCUACUGUAGGUACUGACUAUGGAGAAAGUAAAAUCAUAUGACCCUAUGCCACAUUUUUUUGUAAGUCAAUGCUGCAUUUAAAUUAAUAAAACAGGGUUAUGGAAAGCAUUUUAGUCUGUUUCAGUACUUUUGUGACACCUUCAGUGGAGGUUGACGGCUGGUGACAUUGAGCAUUGCCCAUCUGAGAAUCUCCUUUAAUGGUAAGCAAACUGAUGUCACAAAUUGUAUGUAUCUUAGGAAUAAAUUGUCAUUGUUAUUUGUCCUCACUGCUCUUGUAUAAAUUAUCUUGUCUUUCACUCCUGCCACCUUUCAGGCAUUGCUGAGUAGGUGUAGACUUUGGGGCAACAACUCGUUGGUGAGAAAAACGAGUGUCUGAAUAGAUGACAGAAAACAAUGGAGAGAGAGGGAUUUGAAGCAAAGGGUCCAGGCUGGAAUUUGAUCUUGGCAUGUGGACUAAGGUCUUAUUACGUCUUAUAGUGGCUACCCUUAACAUGGACUUCACCAAAUGGGUUUGAGCGGCUCCUGAAAUCAUUUUUUAUAGAGGGGAUCGUGCCAAGCCACAAUGCACACCUGACUGACAACUUGUGAAUCUUCAAGCUAAACUGAUGACAGCACAUCCUCAAAGUUCCAGUUUGCUGAACAUUGAACAUCUGUCCUACCUGUGUUUAGUCAAGUCUGGACCCUGGACCUCAAUCUUGUCAAGGGAAAUUAGAGAGAGAAUCAUGCCAGCAGACAUCUGAUGGCCAACAGUGAAUCUUCAACCAAAGCCAGUGGUUCCAGUUCCAGUUCCAGCAUCGUGUGUGAUAUGAUCCCAUUCUGAGCCUCCUGUUCAGUUAAGUCUGAACUCAAUGAAUUAUUAAUCUUAACCAGGCAAGUGACUAUGUUUUUGCAUGAACUAUUUCUCAUAUGAUCACGUGCUGUUUUUUCCCCAAUAUCUAAACACUGCCUUGUUGCUGUAGUGGAUAAGUUGUUGUAUUUCAGAGAAUGCUUAAAACAAUUUCUUAAAGUUUAUUAAUGAUAAUAUGUUUAAUUUGUUAUUUCCUUUGUAAUUUACCUUUAGCAGUUUUUGACUGUAAAAUCUGUGCCAACCAACUUUAUUAUCUGAUGUGUUGUAUUUCUUGCAAUGACAUUAUGGUGACCACAGCUGCUGGUAAUUCACUGUAAAGUUGAACUUAGCAAUAAAGUACCGUAAUACCUCA